rnacentral:lncRNA from 1 species
GGCUUCAUAGGUUCUUACUACAAAGCAACUAUUGUUUCUUCCACUGGCCUUUAUCAUUACAGAGUCAACUACAAUACUCUCUUGACUGAUGAUAAAUCCGCACCACUGGAGGAGGUUGUCACUGCAGCUGAGGUCCGCCCUGUGCCACCUGAUCAACAUGAAAUAAUAUCAGAAAACUACUUCCGUCUGUAUGAUAUGGUUGAUGUGUAUGCGAACGAUGGAUGGUGGUUUGGAUUCAUCAGUGGAAAAGUUGGACAAGAGUACUAUGUCUACUUCCCUACAACCGGAGAUAACAUUGCGUAUCCUUCUCAAGAAUGGUCUAAUGGCAAGUUGAUCUUGAUUUCAAGAAAUUCUUGAUUUACUGUAAUGUGAUAUGAAUGUAGUUAACAUCGUUCUACUUUACGUCUUAUUGAAAAAUCCAAUCAAGUUUAGAGAUACUUAACAAGAAACUUUCCAUAUUUAACCAUAGAAUUUUUUUUUUCUUUUGACCAAAGAGUAUAAUAGGAAGGGCAAUUAACGGUUUUAGUUCAAGUCCCUAAUAAAUUAGGAAACUAAAAAAAUAAUAAAAUCAGAAUAAUGAAAAGUGGAAAUUCCUAUUCCUUGUUAUUCAAGGAGAAGAGGAAAAGAAUUCCCAUUCCUAAUCACCAAAGGAAACAGAGUUCUCUGCCUAUAAAUUCAGUAGCAAAGCUUUCAUAGUUCCUCACUUUUCAUUCAAUUGAAUCAAUCUUCGCUGCUGCUCUCGCAAUGGCUCCAAUCAGAGUGACAGAAUAUAAUUUUGAGCAACGCCACCAAUUAAGGAUGGUGAUGAUCUCAAAGGCAAUAAAAUCAAUUGCAUUCAAGAAACAACAGAUAACUAAAGAAUUCAAAAAGGGCGAUGAAGUUGAAGUGGCAAGUCAAGAAUAUGGCUUCAUAGGUUCUUACUACAAAGCAACUAUUGUUUCUUCCACUGGCCUUUAUCAUUACAGAGUCAACUACAAUACUCUCUUGACUGAUGAUAAAUCCGCACCACUGGAGGAGGUUGUCACUGCAGCUGAGGUCCGCCCUGUGCCACCUGAUCAACAUGAAAUAAUAUCAGAAAACUACUUCCGUCUGUAUGAUAUGGUUGAUGUGUAUGCGAACGAUGGAUGGUGGUUUGGAUUCAUCAGUGGAAAAGUUGGACAAGAGUACUAUGUCUACUUCCCUACAACCGGAGAUAACAU